AGCCAAUGUGGCACAGUGGUUUGAGUGCUGGACUACAAUGCUGGAGAUCAGGGUUUGAUUCCCAGCUCGGCUA